CGACUCUGGUCUUUCUCUCAUUACGCACAAGCCUUUCGCCUUUACUAAAGACGUCCGUGGAGAGGGAACACUUAUGAGUUCCAAGUAUUUUUGGAAGGGCUUUGGCUUCUGGCAGAGCC